AUAACUAUUGGAAACGAUAGCUAAUACCGCAUAACAGCAUUUAACCCAUGUNGGAUGCUUGAAAGGAGCAAUUGCUUCNCUANNAGAUGGACCUGCGUUGUAUUAGCUAGUUGGUGAGGUNACGGCUCACCAAGGCNACGAUACAUAGCCGACCUGAGAGGGUGAUCGGCCACACUGGGACUGAGACACGGCCCAGACUCCUACGGGAGGCAGCAGUAGGGAAUCUUCGGCAAUGGGGGCAACCCUGACCGAGCAACGCCGCGUGAGUGAAGA
rnacentral:rRNA from 1 species